AGUCAAUCUACCCUAUGGACGGGAAUAACCUCGGGAAACUGAGAAUAAUGCCCGAUAGAACAUUAUGCCUGGAAUGGUUUAUGUUUCAAAUGAUUUAUCGCCAUAGGAUGGGACUGCGGCCUAUCAGUUUGUUGGUGAGGUAAUGGCCCACCAAUACUAUUACAGGUACGGGCUCUGAGAGGAGUAGCCCGGAGAUGGGUACUGAGACACGGACCCAGGCCCUAUGGGGCGCAGCAGGCGAGAAAACUUUGCAAUGUGCGAAAGCACGACAAGGUUAAUCCGAGUGGUUUCUGCUAAAGAAACCUUUUGUCAGUCCUAGAAACACUAACGAAUAAGGGGUGGGCAAGUUCUGGUGUCUGCCGCCGCGGUAAAACCAGCACCUCAAGUGGUCAGGAUGAUUAUUGGGCCUAAAGCAUCCGUAGCUCGUUUUGUAAGUUUUCGGUUAAAUCCAUGCGCUUAACGUAUGGGCUGCCGGGAAUACUGCAUAACUAGGAAGUGGGAGAGGUAGACGGUACUCGGUAGGAAGGGGUAAAAUCCUUUGAUCUAUUGAUGACCACCUGUGGCGAAGGCGGUCUACCAGAACACGUUCGACGGUGAGGGAUGAAAACUGGGGGAGCAAACCGGAUUAGAUACCCGGGUAGUCCCAGCUGUAAACUAUGCAAACUCAGUGAUGCAUUGGCUUAUGGCCAAUGCAGUGCUGCAGGGAAGCCGUUAAGUUUGCCGCCUGGGAAGUACGUACGCAAGUAUGAAACUUAAAGGAAUUGGCGGGGGAGCACCACAAGGGGUGAAGCCUGCGGUUCAAUUGUAGUCAACGCCAGAAAUCUUACC
rnacentral:rRNA from 1 species